UACAGAGGGGGCAAGCGUUAUUCGGAAUUAUUGGGCGUAAAGAGCGUGUAGGCGGCCAGAUAAGUCCGCUGUGAAAUCUCGAGGCUCAACUUCGAGCUGUCGGUGGAAACUGUCUGGCUAGAGUCCGGAAGAGGAGAAUGGAAUUCCUGGUGUAGCGGUGAAAUGCGCAGAUAUCAGGAAGAACACCCGUGGCGAAGGCGGUUCUCUGGGACGGUACUGACGCUGAGACGCGAAAGCGUGGGGAGCGAACAGG
rnacentral:rRNA from 1 species